rnacentral:rRNA from 1 species
CUAAAUAGUUCUAUAACAAAACAAUUCGCCAGAGAACUACUAGCAACAGCUUAAAACUCAAAGGACUUGGCGGUGCUUUAUAUCCCUCUAGAGGAGCCUGUUCUAUAAUCGAUAAACCCCGAUAAACCUCACCAUCCCUUGCUAAUACAGUCUAUAUACCGCCACUUCAGCAAACAGAU